rnacentral:misc_RNA from 1 species
AGUCGUAACAAGGUAUCCGUAGGUGAACCUGCAGAUGGAUCAUUACCAAAGGAUCCACAUCCACACGUAAUGUGAACUUUUUUUUUGAUGCGAUAUGGUGGGUUGAUGCUGGCGGCUGCUUGCGGCUGCCGGUGCCACCUGCCCUGUCGCACCAUAAUACUACACGUCUAUGUAAUUCAACUGAAGUCUUGUUUAUACAAUACACAAAACUAUAAACAGCUUUUAGCAAUGGGAUCUCUUGGCUCUU